AAGAGAAAUAUUUGAUCAAAAUAAGGGGAAAGGUUUUUAAGCGAAAAUAGAUGUAAAAUUUUAAAUAGGGGUUUAGUUUAAAAAGUUGCAUUGUGGGUUUUCAGUGUUUAAAAUUAAGGAAGUUAUUGGGGGUAACUUUAGUUAAUUUAAACUUGUAGGGGUAAAAUGAUGUGCCAGCAUUCGCGGUUAUACAUCAUCCUAAAAUCUUUAUUUUUAAAUUAGGAAAAUACUAUAUAAAAUUAAUUUGAAUUAUUCUAAUGGGGGUGGAAUAUAUUAGAAUUGAUUUAUAUGAACGUUUUCUAAAAUUUUGGGUUUAAACUAGGAUUAGAUACCCUAUUAUUUAAAUUUAAAUAUGGUUUUUUUAGGAAUUUGAUUAUACAAAAAAUUAAAUUGAUUUGGCGGUUUUUUAAACUUUUUAGAGGAACCUGUUUGUUAAAUUGAUAAACCACGAUUUUAAAUAUCUAGAUUUUCUUGUAUAUCUCUAUAAUGAGUAUUCUUUAAGGUUAAUUUUCUAUAUUUUUAAAAAAAAUUAAUUUAGGUCAAGGUGCAGUUAUAUUUAGAUUUAAAUGGGUUACAAAAAUUAAGGUUUGUGGGGGCAUAUCUUAAAAAUUGUAAUUAAAUUGGAUUUAAAAGUAAAAUAAAUUGUUAAUUUGUUUGAAUUAUGCUCUAAAUUAUGUACAUAUCGCCCGUCAUUCUCAUUUAAUGAGACAAGUCGUAACAAAGUAGAUGUAUUGGAAAAUGUAUCUAGCAG
rnacentral:ncRNA from 1 species